rnacentral:rRNA from 1 species
CCUACGGGGGGCUGCAGUGGGGAAUCUUGGACAAUGGGGGCAACCCUGAUCCAGCCAUGCCGCGUGAGUGAAGAAGGCCUUCGGGUUGUAAAGCUCUUUCGGACGGGAAGAAAUCGCACUCUCUAAUACGGGGUGUGGAUGACGGUACUGUAAGAAGAAGCACCGGCUAACUACGUGCCAGCAGCCGCGGUAAUACGUAGGGUGCGAGCGUUAAUCGGAAUUACUGGGCGUAAAGCGUGCGCAGGCGGAUGGAUAAGACAGAUGUGAAAUCCCCGGGCUCAACCUGGGAAUGGCGUUUGUGACUGUUCAUCUCGAGUACGGCAGAGGGAGGCGGAAUUCCACGUGUAGCAGUGAAAUGCGUAGAGAUGUGGAGGAACACCGAUGGCGAAGGCAGCCUCCUGGGCCGAUACUGACGCUCAUGCACGAAAGCGUGGGGAGCAAACAGGAUUAGAUACCCGAGUAGUC